rnacentral:lncRNA from 1 species
GCUACGCGCCGUAGUGACUCCAUCAAGACUGACCAAGUGACUCGUGUGCCCCGGGCUCUGCUGAUUAUUCGACUCUUCUACAAAAUACUAGUGCACGUACAAGUGGCCCUUCUCCUCCGCACCCCAUUCUUGACCCGCCUGAUUCCUGCCGAAAUAAUGGACUUGUUGCCGACGGCAACCAAGGUUUAGUGUGGAAUUUCUGGGUAAUAGUGGACUAGUGCUGCUGUCGUAUAGGACCACAGCGGGCAUGCAGGAAAAAUAGUGCCUAUGAUAGCGGUCGCAAUGGCAGUGGACUUGGCCUGAGCUGGCGGCCUUCGCUAUAUUGUAAUGGAUCGUUUGCUUUCAGCUGUUGCUGCCACUAUAAACAACCAAACAACAAUAUUUAGCACUGCGCUCCAGUUCUGCUUGAGAUGGUCAGUGUAAGUAGUCUUCAGCUGGAUACUGCACUACCGUUCAACCCGCAGUUAAGCACGAUCUGCAAUGUGUCCUCGAUUCAUCUACGAAUGAACGUCGAGUUAGACAGGUUGAAGCAACCCCUCGGUUAUUAGCUAUGAUUGCGACAGCUUUGACUCCCGUCAAGCUGCCCCCGACGAACACCACCCCUCGUGGUCCAUCGCUGCCUUCCAGUUGCGUAUUAGGUAGAGAACUCAUCAGUGAUUUCAACGCUUCGUCAUGUAAUCAGAUCAGCCAGGCCAAAUCGGGCUGAAAAGCAAUACCAACAAUGACCAAAAUAAGGACAGCAGCAAGGUCCGAGACAGUCGCAGAAACACCGGCACCGUCAGCAGAGGCGGUCGCAUUAACGAAACUAAUAACGAUGCCCCAGCCGGACGUAAUCCUGGAGUAGUGUCCUUUCUCACUGGAAUGCCUGCCGUCGGCAUUUGGUGCCAUGAAUUAUAACUUAAAUGCUGAGAGUGCGGAAACUGAAUCGCCCGUAACUUAACUCCAGACCAGUAUUCUACGUGCACUUUACGAGACCUUCAUCUACAAAAACCCCGAUGUGCACAUACAAUUGCCAUAGACGAGUGUGGUCAAUCCUUACCACCAGCCGAAGAAAGAAACAAUGGCGUCAUACUAGAGGUGAAACAAUCAAUGCACCCUACUAUUUCGGGUUCCUCAGCAAACUCAUGACACAGCAACCGGAAGCAUACAGUGUCCUUACUUGAGGACAACGCUAGACCUCAUUGCCAUUCCUCUAUUACUUCAUGGAUUGGAGAAAGGAACAUGCAACGUGGUCUUGCAGCGGCUUAUUCUACCCUCCUAAUUCAAUGUGAUUGCGGGCCCUUCCCAAGGCAACUGGUGGGAAAACGUAUUUCACUAUUGACUUACAUGGAGAAACCUAGCGAAACGACAUAUGAGAACGCAAAUCUUCCGAAACUGCGAGGACACUGGGAAAAGAGGUGUAAACAAAACAGCUUUUUCGGAUCACUAAUGAGGAGCUGUGUAGAUCUCGGCGGAGUGCUGUUAUAACUAUGGAAGCGCGCUUACGGAAGAACCAGUUUGUAUCUGCUUUUAUACGCUUUUCAAGUCAGGGAUACCUUUGUUCGAUGGGAUGAAUCACACUGGUGGGUUCGUAUCAGCAACCUGUGGCUCAAAAACUUACGGAAGAUUCAGUCGACAGUAAUUGCAA